rnacentral:lncRNA from 1 species
GAUGAUAGUUUAUGUAAAAAAAGUCAGGAUUAACGAACCAAAAAAGGCAAGACCAAAAUAUUUCAUCCUAGCCCCCAAAAAAUAAAAUGGUAACUCCCUAAAUUUAACAUGUUUAAAGCCAAAUAUUACCAGUCCAGUUUAAGAAAGGGAAAAUCAUGAUUUACACACUGGAUUAUGUUGCCUUUGGCCAAAUAAAAAUAUAUGUGUGGUUCCAGUUACAUACUUUUAAAAAACAUGGUUGGUAGGUCAGCAUUUUUUAUUUUUUUUUCAAAUUUUUAUUUUUGAUUGUCAAAAUCCGGGAAAAAAUCGGGUGCUUAUAUAUAAUUACUGAAAUUGUUUCCGCUAUUAUACACGCCCCAACCGGAAGUCCACCAUUUUUACAUGUGUUUGGUUGUAAAAUAUACAGUCAUGAUACGUUUUUAGUUAAUUUUGUUGCAUUCUGUUAUGAAUUCUUGAAUUUUAGCCGUAACAGAUACUUCUGAUGGAAAUUUAAAUGACAGAAAUCUAUGAAUUUAAUUAUUUUAAUUCACAUUCCUCAAAAUAUGAUC